AACGAACGCUGGCGGCAUGCCUAACACAUGCAAGUCGAACGAGAUCCUUCGGGGUCUAGUGGCCCACGGGUGCGUAACGCGUGGUAAUCUGCCCUUAGGUUCGGAAUAACAGUUAGAAAUGACUGCUAAUACCGGAUGAUGACGUUAAGUCCAAAGAUUUAUCGCCUGAGGAUGAACGCGCGUAGGAUUAGCUAGUUGGUGUGGUAAAGGCGCACCAAGGCGACGAUCCUUAGCUGGUCUGAGAGGAUGAUCAGCCACACUGGGACUGAGACACGGCCCAGACUCUUACGGGAGGCAGCAGUGGGGAAUAGUGGACAAUGGGCGCAAGCAUGAUCCAGCAAGGCCGCGUGAGUGAUGAAGGCCUUAGGGUUGUAAAGCUUUUGUACCCGAGAUGAUAAUGACAGUAUCGGGAGAAUAAGCCCCGGCUAACUCCGUG
rnacentral:rRNA from 1 species